rnacentral:rRNA from 1 species
GUGCCAGCAGCCGCGGUAAUACGUAGGGUGCGAGCGUUAAUCGGAAUUACUGGGCGUAAAGCGUGCGCAGGCGGUUCGUUGUGUCUGCUGUGAAAGCCCCGGGCUCAACCUGGGAAUGGCAGUGGAAACUGGCGAGCUGGAGUGCGGCAGAGGGGGGUGGAAUUCCGCGUGUAGCAGUGAAAUGCGUAGAGAUGCGGAGGAACACCGAUGGCGAAGGCAGCCCCCUGGGCCGACACUGACGCUCAGGCACGAAAGCGUGGGGAGCAAACAGGAUUAGAUACCCUGGUAGUCCACGCCCUAAACGAUGUCAACUGGGUGUUGGGGAAGCGAUUCCUUGGUACCGUAGCUAACGCGUGAAGUUGACCGCCUGGGGAGUACGGCCGCAAGGUUAAA